AACGUCCAUACCACGGCGAAUACGGCGGUUCCCGUCCGAUCAUCGAAGUUAAGCAGCGUCGGACGAGGUCAGUACUUCGAUGGGUGACCGCCUGGAAACACCGCGUGAUGUU